rnacentral:lncRNA from 1 species
AACAUUGUCAGUAAGAGAUAACGAAGGCAUAGCAGAAACACCUUUCUCCUUCCCAAUGGGAGGAAGAGCUGGAGAAGAUCCUGCAGCAGCCCUGGACUUCUUCCGAGCAGGAGACGGGGCAGAUGUUCUGGAGGGGGCUGGACGCUUGUCCCCGGUCUUUGAUGAAAUGCCCUCAGAUCCCUCAGGCUCAGUCCUCAUAGGGGCAGGGGCAUCUUGAGCAGAAACCUAUGAGAUUUGGUCAUCUAGGAGGAUGAUCUCCAUCCCUGUCCCAGAGGCCUCCUUGUCUUCAGUAGCAGGGGACUUAGAUUUUCC